UUAUAUCUGUGUAUACACACUGGAGGUUCAUGCGUUAGCAUUUUUAACAACCGCGAUGUUGCAAAUGUUGUACCAGAUUACUAUUACAACAGUACAAUCAUCUGCUCAUCAACAUCUGGGUGGUUUUCUGGUUUUUUCCUUUGUUCUUUUUUUUUCUUGAGACGGAGUCUCGCUCUGUUGCCCAGGCUGGAGUGCAGUGGCAUGAUCUGGGCUCACUGCAAACUCCGCCUCCCGGGUUCAUGCCAUUCUCCUGCCUCAGCCUCCCGAGUAGCUGGGACUACAGGCGCCCGCCACCACGCCCGGCUAAUUUUUUGUAUUUUUAGUAGAGACGGGGUUUCACUGUGUUAGCCAGCAUGGUCUCGAUCUCCUGACCUCGCGAUCUGCCCGCCUCGACCUCCCAAAGUGCUGGGAUUACAGGCAUGAGCCACCGUGCCCGGCUCCUUUGUUCUUUUAGUUAUGACUACUAACAGACCUGCUAUGUCCUUGUUCAUGUCUCAUGCCCACGGGCAGAUGACACCCCAGUCCGGUGGCCCACCUGUACCACUGGGCAUCAGAAUCCCCUGAGAGCUCUUCAUGGACCACAGGGCCCUGGGACCUCACUCCCAGUCACUGGUGCGGCCACUCUGGGGCAGAGCCCAGGAAGGCACAUUGCUAACAACCCCUAGUGAUACUGAGGCUGCUUGCCCGGGUCCCACUUGGAGAACCCUGUCGAGGGUGGCACUGCUGGUCACAGGGCACUUCUUUUAACUAACAUUGUUUUCCAAAGAGGCUGUGACCAACAGAGUUUACUGUUCAUGAAACUCAGAUCGCAGACAGGCACGUGUCUGUCACAGCCGGUGCCGGCCGCUCCUUUCCAUGGACAGUAACGUCCAUGCAGGCUUAUGUUCAUCAGCUGAGAAAAGGGCACUUGCUGGGUGGGACCUUGUCUUAUCGACACAUAGAGUCUGCAGAAGGUGCCAACUGGUGUCGCAGGGCUGCUCCUGACACGACCCAAAAUCACCAG
rnacentral:lncRNA from 1 species